rnacentral:tmRNA from 1 species
GGGGGCGAAUUGGAUUCGACCGGACGGCUCUGGCGGUAGGCACCGUGCCGUGGUUGGUCGGCUGGCCACGUUAAAAGCCGACUGCAAAAUUACAUGCCGAGCAACCGCUCGCGCUAGCUGCUUAAUCUAUAGGCAGCCCGGUUGAGGGCCUUGGCCGGAGAGGCCCGAAAACCGGUCGGCAAUUCCGGCUCGUCUUGGGUCGGUGCCGGCUUGGCCCAAGAUUAAACUUCAAGGCCGGCUAGCCAUCCAGGGACUCCGGACUCCGUUCCGGGGCUUGCCCUGUCGGUUGGGGCCCUGGGGGGCGAAACGCAAAAAAACCGACUACGCACGUACCAGGCCUACCCGAAGGCCGCCGCGGGACGCGGGUUCGAUUCCCGCCGCCUCCAA